rnacentral:rRNA from 1 species
AAUCAACGCUGGCGGCGUGCCUAACACAUGCAAGUCGAACGAGAAAGUGGAGCAAUCCAUGAGUACAGUGGCGACCGGGUGAGUAACACGUGACUAACCUACCCUCGAGUGGGGGAUGACUCCGGGAAACCGGGGCUAAUACCGCAUAACAUCGCGAGGUGAAAUUCCUUGUGAUCAAAGGAGCAAUUCGCUUGAGGAGGGAGUCGCGUCUGAUUAGCUAGUUGGUGAGGUAACGGCCCACCAAGGCAAUGAUCAGUAGCCGGCCUGAGAGGGCGCACGGCCACACUGGAACUGAAACACGGUCCAGACUCCUACGGGAGGCAGCAGUGGGGAAUUUUGCGCAAUGGGGGAAACCCUGACGCAGCAACGCCGCGUGGAGGAUGAAGUCCUUUGGGAUGUAAACUCCUUUCGACCGGGACGAUAAUGACGGUACCGGAGGAAGAAGCACCGGCUAACUCUGUGCCAGCCGCCGCAGUAAUAC